GACGAACGCUGGCGGCGUGCUUAACACAUGCCAGUCGAACGGCAAGGCCCUGCUGUUGUGUGGUGCUCUGGUGGCGAACGGAUGGGUAACAAGUGAGUAGCCUGCCCUUGACUUUUGGAUAACUUCAGGAAACUAGGUCUGAUACUGGAUCGGAGCUCCUGCUGCAUGGUGGGGGGUGGAAAGUUGCGGCGGUAGGGGAUGGACGCGCGGCUUAUCAUCUUGAUGGUGGGGUAGUGGCUUACCAAGGCUUUGACGGGUAGCCGGCCUGAGAGGGGGGCCGGCCCCAAUGGGACUGAGAGACGGCCCAGACUCGUACGGGAGGCAGCAGUGGGGAAUAUUGCACAAUGGGCGGAAGCCUGAUGCAGCAACGCCGCGUGCGGGAUGACGGCCUGCGGGUAGUAAACCGCUUUCGCCUGUGACGAAGCGUGAGUGACGGUAAUGGGUAAAGAAGCACCGGCUAACUACGUG
rnacentral:rRNA from 1 species